AUUGAACGCUGGCGGCAGGCCUAACACAUGCAAGUCGAACGAGUGGCGGACGGGUGAGUAAUGUCUGGGAAACUGCCCGAUGGAGGGGGAUAACUACUGGAAACGGUAGCUAAUACCGCAUACCAUCGGAUGUGCCCAGAUGGGAUUAGCUAGUAGGUGGGGUAAUGGCUCACCUAGGCGACGCUCCCUAGCUGGUCUGAGAGGAUGACCAGCCACAACGGAACUGAGACACGGUCCAGACUCCUAAGGGAGGCAGCAGGGGGGAAGAUUGCAAAAUGGGCGCAAGCCUGAGUGAGCCAUGCCGCGGGUAUGAAGAAGGCCUUAGGGGUGCAAAGUACUUCCAGCGGGGAGGCGUUACUCGCAGAAGAAGCACCGGCUAACCCCGUGCCAGCAGCCGCGGUAAUUC
rnacentral:rRNA from 1 species